CCACUUAAGAUGGCGGCUGCGUGAAAACAGCUGAUCGGUUCUGUGGGCCGCUCUUGGUGUAUUUUUGUCCGUAACGUGAUUAGAUGAAAUCUCGCCGUACGAGGUACUUUCGCCCGAGAAGAAUUCUGGAAGCUGUGAACAUCAUGAAGACUGUGAAAGCGUAGUGCUCGGAUACGGAAGAAUCGAUGAAGGUUGGAAGGCAUCUCAACAGAUAGCUGGAAGACGGGAGGCGGAAAGUUGGGCGGCCUGGAGGGUCGCGUGCUCGCCGUGCUCGGCCUUACCGGCCCA
rnacentral:lncRNA from 1 species